rnacentral:misc_RNA from 1 species
CAAGAAACGAGGCCGCGUGCGCUCGCCCGCCCGGCCCCGCUCCUUACCUUGCCUACUGCACCGUUUGUUGCUUCCUGGCGGCGGACUGCCCGCCGCCAGGGACUGUUGAUACAACCCUGUAUAGAAGCAUUGAAGCUCUGAGAAAACGCGAAAUCGUA